GCAAACUUGGUCAUUUAGAGGAAGUAAAAGUCGUAACAAGGUUUCCGUAGGUGAACCUGCGGAAGGAUCAUUAUUGGAACAACUUUGGAUGGGUUGAUGCUGGCUCCCUUGGGGGCAUUUGUGCACGCCUGCCAUUAGUUUUCAACCACCUGUGCACAUUAUGUAGGCUGGGAAUGAGUGAACUUGUCGAGGAAACACACAAUACUCGGGUUGAGAACUGCCUAUGUGUUUUAUGCACAGCUGUUCUUGUGCUCUUCCAGUCUAUGUUAUUAACUACACUCUUAUUGUAUGUUAUCAGAAUGUAUUGUUAGGCUGUAGUAGCCUUUAAACAAAUACAACUUUCAACAACGGAUCUCUUGGCUCUCGCAUCGAUGAAGAACGCAGC
rnacentral:misc_RNA from 1 species